GAUGAACGCUGGCGGCGUGCCUAAUACAUGCAAGUCGAGCGAACGGACGAGAAGCUUGCUUCUCUGAUGUUAGCGGCGGACGGGUGAGUAACACGUGGAUAACCUACCUAUAAGACUGGGAUAACUUCGGGAAACCGGAGCUAAUACCGGAUAAUAUUUUGAACCGCAUGGUUAAAAAGUGAAAGACGGUCUUGCUGUCACUUAUAGAUGGAUCCGCGCUGCAUUAGCUAGUUGGUAAGGUAACGGCUUACCAAGGCAACGAUGCAUAGCCGACCUGAGAGGGUGAUCGGCCACACUGGAACUGAGGCACGGUCCAGACUCCUACGGGAGGCAGCAGUAGGGAAUCUUCCGCAAAGGGCGAAAGCCUGACGGAGCAACGCCGCGUGAGUGAUGAAGGUCUUCGGAUCGUAAAACUCUGUUAUUAGGGAAGAACAUAUGUGUAAGUAACUGUGCACAUCUUGACGGUACCUAAUCAGAAAGCCACGGCUAACUACGUG
rnacentral:rRNA from 1 species